UUUUUUUUAUCAGAUACCUAUUUAAAAUACAUGGUAUUCCUAAAAAUCCCUAAACUAUGUUCUCCUAUAUAUUAAAAAUACAUGUUGAAUUUUGAGGUGUGUCUGUCUUACUAUAUUAACUUAUAGAGUGUGUACUAAGUUUUAUGUGUAGGUUACUCAUGAUAUAUUACUCUCGGAUGAUUGAUUAAUUCUUGGAGUUUUGGCCAAAAUAAUAUCUAAUGUGAUUUAUUAAUUUUAGGUUUAAUUGUGGAUGUGCUUUAUGCUGCUCCAAUUGAAAUAAGCCCUCAUUUACAUUCACUUGUAGUAGGAUAAAAAUAAACGAAGGCAUACAGUGUUACAUUUAUGAAAAUCAUCUUUUAUUACAUAAACUAGAUUACGCAAAAUAAAAUUUUACAAGUAAGAAACCAAUCUGCCAGUAAUUAUAUUCUCUAAUUCUAAAUUACACAAAUAAAGUUCAAGAGAUUUAAUUUUAUUCUUUACAUGGUGUUAGAUUUAAUAAAAAUAUUUAAAUGAGUGUUCUUUCAAUAAUAAGUGUCAUACACAAAUGAAGAGUAAAACAAAAAAGUGAAUAAAUCAAUUCAGAGAAAACAAGAGAGGGAAUUUUUUCUUCAGAUGGAUCCCAUAUGGAGAAUUGGAAAUUUUAGAAAAAUAAUAAUAAUAAAGAAAAAGGUAAAAAAAAUGAGGAAAAAAAAUGGACAUACAUGAAAUAAGGAUAAUAUAUUUAAGAAAAAAUAAAUUUGAAAGAGGGUUAGGCUAGUUAACCAUUAUAUUCUAUCAGGUGGGUUAUUUUGGUAAUUUUUUUAAUCGUCAUACGGUCUAAAACGAGUUAUUACAUAUGUUAUGCUAGCUAAGUGAUAAAAAGAAUUAAAUAUAAAGGAUGAUAUAGUUUAAGGGGGUUUUGGGACACUAAAUAAUUUAAACAAAUAUUUGACAAAACAUAUAAUAGUUUGAGGGGGUUUUACUGCAUUAACUCUAUUUUAUACAUGAUGUAAAUGAUGGAACUUUCAUUUCAUACGCAUGUCAG
rnacentral:lncRNA from 1 species